rnacentral:lncRNA from 1 species
GUGAGUGACAGUUUUUAAAUCCAUUACCAUUAGAAAACCACAGGUUUUAAGAAAAUUUUAUUUUCCAUUUAUAUUGAGGUACAAUUGACAUAUAGUAAAUUUCACCCUUUUAAGCACACAGUUCUUAGAAUUUUGAAAUACAGUUAUGUAACCACCACCACAAUCAAGAUACACAACAGUGCCAUCGGCCCCUAAAAUUCCCCCAUGCCUCUUUUGUAACCAUCCCCUCUUCAAACCGCAGCCCUUGGCAACCACUAAUCUGUUUUUCUUCCUGUAGUUUGGCUUUCUUAAGAAUGUCGUAUAAACUGAGUCAUGGAGUAGGUAGCCCUUGGUAUCCUGCUUCUUUCAGCUAGCAUAAUGCAUGUGAGAUCCAUUCAUGCUGUUGUGCAAAACAGUAGUUUGUUUCUUUUUAUUGCUGAGUAAGGAUUUUAUUGUAUGGAAUGUACCAGUUUGUUUAUCCAUUCUCCAGUUGAGAAACAUUUGGGUAGUUUUUAGUUCCUGGUGAUGACAGAUAAAGCUGCUGCAAACAUUCAUGUGCAUAUUUUCGUGAGGAUGUAGUUUUCAUUUCACUUGAGUAAAUGCAAAGCAGUGAGAUUGCUGGGUCAUACACAAACACCAAAAUCCUAGUUUCGCCAUGAACACUGAAAUUAUGAACUACUUCAAAAUAAUAGCUUCCGUGGUGACCAGAGCAACAAAUUUUACUAGGUUUGCCUUGAAGAUUUGAAAUAUCCACAGCACCUACGUGAAUUUGCUGUGGUGCCCCAGGCUCUACCUCACUGCACAGUUUGGAAACCACAGCUUUCAGUUGUCUUCUUUUUUUAAAAUUAUUUUUAUUUUUUGAGAUGGAGUCUUGCUCUGUCAACCAGGCUGGAGUGCAGUGGCGCGAUCUCCACCUGCUGGGUUCAAGCAAUUCUUGUGCCUCAGCCUUCCAAGUAGCUGGGGUUACAGGAGCCCACCGCAACGCCUGGUUAAUUUUUGUAUUUUUAGUAGAGACUGGGUUUUGCCCUGUCGGCCAGGCUAGUCUCGAACUCCUGUCCUCAAGUGAUCCACCCACCUCAGCCUCCCAAAGUGCUGGGAUUACAAUGUGAGCUACCGUGCCCAGCCUCAGUUGUCUUCUGACUCUGAGAAGUUAAGAUUCAACUGAUUUUUAAACUUGAGGUUUGAAAUUCCUUACUAUCCACUUUUGGGACCCACUGCACUAUCAGAGAAAAGCAAGAGUAUCAGAAACACAGGUGACUGUGGAUGGAAGAGCAGUAAGCAGUUGAAGUACUUUGCUGUUUUUCCCGUAGGGGAGGACAAAUGGAUUCCUGAGGUGCAGGGCAAUCAACAGAUGAGAUCCAAGAGUCAGAACCCUGGAAUGGACCACCAGAACUUUCCCAUGGAGCCCCAGGACUUCUUCCCCCAAUUCCUGCUGUUUCUCCUCCUCCCUGUAGCAGGCUUCUUAAAGCAGGUAGUUUGACCUGCUGAGCAUCACAUUGCAUAAAACAAUGCCGGAAGACUUGAGCAAUGGUGACUUACCAAGACAGCUGGCUGCCUAUGUUUAUGGCAUUUGGAAUCCACCGGGAACACAUACAUUUGUCACAGUGUGUUCCCGAAAUAAAUGAGGCUGUCUCCCAACUGGCCCCAUAUAAUCAACGCAGCCCAGCCCCACAUAGCUACUCCAAUGAAUAAUGCUUUGUUUGCCAAAUGCAAUGGGAACCUACCACAGGCCAGGGUGCUUCCAACAACAACAACAACAAGAAACUAAAGACAGUAAGGGAGAAAGAGUGGGUAUAAGCACUUAUCAAUACAUCAGACUGGAAACUCCUAGAAUGGAAUUAUUAGAUGCAUGUAUUAUUUGGGAGCAUUAUGACCAGGAAUAUUAAUAAAACUGUGAAUAGUAUGUAUUCUUUUCAUAAUUUUGACUUAGGGAAGAGGGCAAAAAAAUAACUGUAGCUAGUUUUAGACAUCCAUAAACAAAAUUCUGUAUUACUUUCAGGUAAGACAAGAGCAAUGACAACACAGCACCACAAGCCUUGCCUGGGGUAGAGAGAUAUUAUACAAGGGAAACUGUUUAUUUGUUAGAGAAUCAUACUCAUAAUUCCCUUAAGAGUCUCUUAAUUAAUUCCCCUAAUUAGAACUUUAAUGGGUCUCCCUUUUCAUUUUCUAACAUCUUACACUGGCUACAUCAUUGAAAUAGAAUGAAAAGAAUAAACCUCUCUGCUAUUUUUUUUUAAGGUUGGC